GGGUCGUUAGCUCAGUCGGUAGAGCAGCGGACUUUCGAAGGUUCGAAUCCUUCACGACCCACCA
rnacentral:tRNA from 1 species